rnacentral:lncRNA from 1 species
AUCAUGUUCCAAACAUUCAUUUAUUAGUUCUGGAAUGAAAUUGAAACCUCGUGACCCAAAAAAACAUAUAGUAAUUUGAAACAUAUGGGUGUAGUUUCUACUUAUUUUGAGUUCAUUUUGCUUCAUUUUCGCUCAUGUCAUCAUGCGUGCAAUCACAACUCUUUGCUUUUGCCCAUCAAAAAGUUGAACACAUUGCUCACAAACCUUAGUCAAAUAGGCCUUUUGGAAGGACACUGAUGAAACUAUGUGCAUUAGUAAGCUUUGUUGCUUCUAUAAUCUCCUUCUGAAGCACCCUCUUAACCAUAAGAAUGUUUUCAUGGAGGGUUAUGCCAUUUGGACAGAGCCACGUAGGCCUUGUUCAUCCAGGGGCGAUGUGACGUUCCUUAUUGGUCAUGUUUUUGCAUAGAUAAAUCCUUUUAUGGAUUAAUGUGGCCAAAAGAGGCAGCUCUUGUUGGACCAAUCCAAUAUGUUUCCUUAAAGAUUUGAGCUUCAAUUUCUCGAUGUCCUUGCCUCUAUAAAUUUU